UGUGACAAUCCAGCACAGGUGCAUAUCUAGCACUGAUUUGGCCUGGAUGGUUCAGGAUAAUCACCUGAGUUGUGAAGCCAGCUGCUUCCAUUGAUAGCACACACGUCUGAGCUCCAGCACACAGUG